CACCAGGAGGUCUCUUGUAUCGUCUCUGUGAUCAGAUCACUACACGAUGAGGUGUCUUGGAUCAAACCUGAGGUGCAGGCACUGCACAAGGAGGUCUCUUGGAUCAUCCCUGAAGUGGCAGCACUACAUCAGAAGGUGUCUUGGAUCAUCCCUCAGGUGUGAACACUGCACCAGGAAGUGUCUUCAAUCGUGCCUGAGGUGUCAACACUGCACCAGGAGGUGUUUUUUAUCAUCCCUAAGGUGCAAGCACUGCACCAGGAGGUCUCUUGGAUUAUGCCUGAGGUUUGAACACUGCACCAGGAAGUGUCUUAUCAUCCCUAAAGUGUGAGCACUGCACCAGGACAUGUCUUGGGUCAUCCCUGAGGUGUGUGCACUGCACCAGGAGUUGUUUUGCAUUAUUCCUGAGGUCAGAGCACUGCAUCACAAGUGUCUUGGAUCAUGCCUGAUCAUGACUGACAAGCAAGUUUCUUAACUCAUUCCUGAGGAGGGAGUACUGUAACAGGGGGUAUCUUAGAUCAUGCCUGAAGUGUGAGUACUGCACCAGGAGGUAUCUUGAAUCAUCCCUGAGGUGGUAGCACUGCACCAGGAGGUGUCUUGGAUCAUCCCUGUGGGUUGAGCACUACACCAGGAGGUGGUUUGGAUCAUCCCCGAGGUGUGAGCACUGCACCAGGAAGUGUCUUGUAUUAUGCCUGAGUGUGAACACUGCACUAGGUGUUUUUUGGAUCAUUCCUAGGUGAGACCACUGCACCAGUAGGUAUCUCGGAUCAUGCCAGAGUUGUGAGCACUGCAUCAGGAGAUGUUUUGGAUCAUCCCUGAGGUGUGAGCACUGGAUUAGAAGGUGUCGUGGCUCAUGCCUGAGUGUGAGCACUGUACCAGGUGGUUUUUUAGGAUCAUCCUUAGGUGUGACCACUGCACCAGGAGGUAUCUUGGAUCAUGUCUGAGUGUGAUCACUGCACCAAGGGAUGUCUUAAAUCACAUCUGAGUUGUGAUCACUGCACCAAGAGGUGUCUUGGAGCAUCCCUGAGGUGUGAGCACUGCACCAGGAGAUGUCUUGGAUCAUGCCUGAGUUGUGACCACUGCACCAAGAGGUGUUUUGGAGCAUCCCUGAGGUGUGAGCACUGCAACAGGAGGUGUAUGAGUGUGAGUACCUCACGAGGAUGUACCUUGGAUCAUGUCUUAGUUCUGUGGGCACUGCAUUAGGAUGUGUUUUGGAUCACCCUUGAGGUGUGAGCACUGCACCAGGAAUUGUCUUGGUUCAUCCCUGAGAGUGAGCACUGCACCAGGUGUUUGGGGUCAUUUAUAAGGUGUGAGCACCACACCAGGAGGUUUGUUAUAUUAUGCCUGAGUGUGAGCACUGCAGCAGGAGGUAUUUUGAAUCAUGCCUGAGUUGUGAGCAUUGCAUCAGGAAGUGUUUUGGAUCUUCACUGAGGUGUGAGCACUGGACCAGGAGGUCUCAUGGAUCAUCCCUGAGUUGCGAGCAUUGCACCAGGAAGUGUCUUGGAGCAUCCCUGAGGUGGGAGCACUGCACCAGAAAGUGUCUUGCAUGUUGCAUCAUGCCUAAGGUAGGAGCACUACACCAGCAAGUGUCUUGGAUCUUUCCUGAGGUGGGAACACUUUACCAGGAGGUAUCUUGAAUCACCCCUAAGGAAAGAGCACCACACCAAAGGGGUCUUGGAUCAUCCCUGGGGAGGGAGCACUACUUCAGGAGGUGCCUUGGGUCAUCCUUGAGGUGUGAGCACUGCACAAAGAAGCAUCUUGUAUGAUGCCUGAGUGUGAGCACUGCACCAGGGGUUGUCUUGGAUCAUUCCUGAAGGUUGAGCACUGUACCAGCAGGUAUCUUGGAUCAUCUCAGAGGUGUGAGCAUUGCACCAGGAGGUGUCUUGGAUCAUUCCUGAGGUAGGAUCACUGCAUCCGGAAGUGCCUUGAAUCAUCCCUGAGGUGUGAGCACUGUAACAGAAGGUGUCUUGGAUUCUCCAUGAGGUGUGAGUCCUGCACCAGCAGGCAUCUUGAAUCAUCAGAAGAAAGAGCACUGCACCAAGAGGUGUCUUGGAUCAUCCCUGAGAUGUGAACAUUGCCCCUGCAAGUCUUAUCAUGCCUGAGGUGUGACCCAUGCACCAGGAGAUCUCUUGUAUUGAUGCUAAGGUGGGAUCACUGCACCAUGAGGUGUCUUGGAUCAAACCCGUGGUGCAGGCACUACACAAGGAGGUCUCUUGAAUCAUCCCUGAGGUGGCAGCACUACAUCAGAGGGUGUCUUGGAUCAUCCCUCAGGUGUGAACACUGCACAAGGAAAUGCCUUAAAUCAUGCCUGAGGUAUCAGCACUGCACCAGGAGGUGUCUUGCAUUAUUCCUAAGGUCAGAGCACUGCAUCGCAAUGUCUUGGAUUGUGCCUGAUCAUGUGUGACCAGCAAGUGUCUUAACUCAUCCCUGAGGAGGGAGUACUAUAACAGGGGUAUCUUGGAUUAUGCCUGAAGUGUGAGCAUGCACCAGGAGGUGUCUUGAAUCAUCCCUGAGGUGGAAGCACUGCACCAAGAGGUGUCUUGGAUCAUCCCUGUGGGUUGAGCACUACACCAGGAGGUGCUUUGGAUCAUCCCUGACGUGUGUGCACUGCACCAGGAAGUGUCUUGUAUUAUGACUGAGUGUGAACACUACACCAAGUGGUUUUUGGGAUCAUUCCUAGGUGUGACCACCACACCAGGAGGUAUCACGGAUCAUGCCAGAGUUGUAAGCACUGCAUCAGGAGAUGUUUUGGAUUAUCCCUGAGGUGUGAGCUUUGGACCAGGAGGUGUCUUGGAUCAUGCCUGAGUGUGAGCACUGCACCACAUGGUUUUUUUGGAUCAUCUGUAGGUGUGAGCACUGCACCAGGAAGUAUCUUGGAUCAUGUCUGAGUUGUGAUCACUGCGCCAGGAGGUGCCUUAAAUCAUGUCUGAGUUGUGAGCACUGCACGAAGAGGUGUUUUGGAGCAUCCUUGAGGUGUGAGCACUGCACCAGGAGGUGUUUUGGAACAUCCCUGAGGUGUGAACACUGCACCAGGAAAUGUCUGGGAUCAUCCCUGAGUGUGAGCACUGCACCAGGAGGUGUUUGGGGUCAUCCAUAAGGUGUGAGCACCACACCAGGAGGCUUGUUGUAUUAUGGCUGAGUGUGAGCACUGCACCAGGAGGUAUAUUCAAUCAUGACUAAGUUGUGAGCACUGGACCAGGAAGUGUUUUGGAUCAUCCCUGAGGUGUGAGCACUGGACCAGGAGGUCACCUGGAUCAUCCCUGAGUUGUGAGCCUGCAUCAGGUGGUUUUUUGGAUCAUACCUAGGUGUGAGCACUGCACCAGGAAGUAUCGCUGAUCAUGUCUGAGUUGUGAUCACUCACCAGGAGGUGUCUUAAAUAAUAUCUGAGUUGUGAUCACUGCACCAGAUGGUGUCUUGGAUCAUCGCUGAGGUGUGACCACUGCAGCAGGAAGUGUCUUGGAUCAUCGCUGUGGUGUGAGAACUGCACAAUGAGGUGUUUUCCAUCAUCCCUGAGGUGGGAGCACUGCACCGGGAAAUGUCUUGGAUCACCUCUGGGGAGAGAGUACAACUCCAGGAGGUGUCUUGGGUCAUCUUUGAGGUGUGAGCACACACCAAGAGGUGUCUUGGAUCAUUCCUGCAGGUUGAGCACUGUAUCAGCAGGUAUCUUGGAUCAUCUCAGAGGUGUGAGCACUGCACCAGGAGGUGUCUUGGAUCAUCCCUGAAAGUUGAGCACUGUACAAGCAGGUAUCUUGGAUCAUCUCAGAGGUGUGAGCAUUGCACCAGGAGGUGUCUUGGAUCAUCCCUGAGGUAGGAUCACUGCACUAGGAAGUGUCUUGAAUCAUCCCUGAGGUGUGAGCACAGUAACAGGAGGUGUCUUGGAUCCUCCCUGAGAUGUGAGCACUGCAGCAGGAGGUGUCUUCAAUCAUCAGAGGAAAGAGCACUACACCAAGAUAUGUCUUGGAUCACGUCUGAGGUGUGAUCGCUGUAACAAGAGGUGCCUUGAAUCAUCCCUGAGGUGUGAGCACUGUACCAAGACGUGUCUUGGAUCAUCCAGGAGGUGUGAGCACCUCACCAGGAUCAUCAUACCUGACGUGUGAACAUUUCACCCAGAAGUGGCUUAUGUCAUGCCUGAGGUGUGAUUCAUGCACCAGGAGGUGUUUUGUAUCAUCCCUGAGGUGCAGGCACUGUACCAGUAGGUCUCUUGGAUUAUGCCUAAGGUUUGAGCACUGCACCAGGAAGUGUCUUUUAUCAUCCCUGAAGUGUGAGCACUGCACAAGGAGGUGUCUUAAGUAAUCUCUGAGGUGGGAGCACUGCACAGGGAGGUGUCUUCAUUCAUCCCCCAGAAGGGACUACUGCACCAAGAGGUUUUUUGGAUAAUCCUGAGGAGGGAGCACUGCACCAGGAGGUAUCUUGGAUGAUAACUGAGUUUUAACCACUGCAGCAAGAAGUGCCUUAAAUAAUCUCUGAGGUGGAAACACUACACCAGGAGGUGUCUUGGAUCAUCCCUGAGGUGCAGACACUGCACCAGGAGGUCUGUAGGAUUAUCCCUGAGGUUUGAGCACUGCACCAGGAAGUGUCUUUUAUCAUCCCUGAGUUGGGAGCACUGCACCAGGAGGUGUAUUGGAUCAUCACUUAGGUGGAGCAUUGCACCUGCAAGUGCCUUGGAUCAUGCCUGACGUGUGAGCACUGCACCAGCAGGUGUCUUGGCUCAUCCCUGAGCAGGGAGUACUGCACGAGGAGGUGUCUUGUGUCACACCUGAGGUGUGAGCACUGUACCAGGAGGUGUCUAGGAUCAUCCCUGAAUUGUGAGAAGUGCACCAGGAGGUGUCAUGGAGCAUCCCUGAGGUGGGAGCACUGCACCAGGAAGUGGCUUGCAUGUUGCAUCAUCCCUGAGGUAGGAGCACUACACCAGCAGGUGUCUUGGAUCUUUCCAGAGGUAGGAGCACUUCACCAGGAGGUAUCUUGAAUCAACCCUAAGGUAAGAGCACUGCACCAAAGGGGUCUUGGAUCAUCCCUGGAGUGGGGGGAACACUACUCCAGGAGGUGUCUUGGGUCAUCCUUGAGGUGUGAGCACUGCACCAAAAGGUGUCUUGUAUUAUGCCUGAUUGUAUUAUGCCUGAGUGUGAGCAUUGCACUUGGGGGUGUCUUGGAUCAUUCCUGAAGUAGGAUCACUGUCUCAGGGAGUGUCUUGAAUCAUUCCUGAGGUGUAAGGAUUGUUACAGGAGAUGUCUUGAAUCAUCAGAGGAAAGACCACUACACCAAGUGGUGUCUUGGAUCAUCCCUGAGGUGUGAACUUUGCACCCGGAAGUGUCUUAUCAUGCCUGAGGUGUGACCCAUGUACCAGGAGGUCUCUUGUAUCAUCCCUGAGAUGGGAUCACACACCAUGAGGUGUCUUGGAUCAAAUCUGAGGUGCAGACGCUGCACAAGGAGGUCUCUUGAAUCAUCCCUGAGGUGGCAGCACUGCACCAGAAGGUGUAUUGGAUCAUCCCUCAGGUGUGAACACUGCACCAGGAAGUGUCUAAAAUCAUGCCUGAGGUGUCAGCACUGCACCAGGAGGUGUUUUUGAUCAUCCCUAAGGUGCAGGCACUGCACCAGGAGGUCUCUUGGAUUAUGCCUGAGGUUUGAGCACUGCAUCAGGAAGUGUCUUUUAUCAUCCCUGAUGUGUAAGCAUUGCACCAGGAGGUGUCUUGCGUCAUUCCUGAGGUGUGUACACUGCACCAGGAGUUGUUCUGCAUUAUUCCUGAGGUCGGAGCACUGCAUCACAAGUGUCUUGGAUCGUGCCUGAUGGUGCCUGACCAGCAAGUGUCUUAACUCAUCCCUGAGGAGGGAGUACUGUAACAGGUGUCUUGGAUCAUCCCUUGGAGUGCAGCACUACACCACCAGGUGCUUUGAAUCAUCUCUGAGGUGUGAGCAGUGCACCAGGAAGUGUCUUGUAUUAUGACUGAGUGUGAAUACUUCACCAGGUAGUUUUUUGGAUAAUUCCUAGGUGUGACCGCUGCACCAGGAGGUAUCUCGGAUCAUGCCAGAGUUGUGAGCACUGCAUCAGGAGAUGUUUUGGAUCAUCCCUGAGGUGUGACCACUGGACCAGGAGGUGUCUUGGAUCAUGCCUGAGUGUGAGCACUGUACCAGGUGGGUUUUUUGUAUCACCCCUAGGUGUGAGUACUGCAUCAGGAAGUACCUUUGAUCAUGUAUGAGUUGUGAUCACUGCACCAGGACAUGUCUUAAAUCAUAUCUGAGUUGUGAUCACUGCACCAAGAGGUGUUUUGGAGCAUCCCUGAGGUGUAAGCACUGCACCAAGAGGUGUCUUGGAUCAUGCCUGAGUUGUGACCACUCCACCAGGAUAUGUUUUGGAACAUACCUGAGGUGUGAGCACUGCACCAGGAGGUGUCUUAGAUUAUGCCUGAGUGUGAGCACCUCACCAGGAUGUACCUUGGAUCAUGCCUGAGUUUUGUGGGCACUGCACCAGGAUGUGUUUUGGAUAAUCCCUGAGGUGUGAGCACUGCACCAGGAAGUGUUUUGUAUUAUGCCUGAGUGUGAACACUGCACCAGGUGGUUUUUUGGAUGAUUCCUAGGUGUGACCACUGCACCAUCAUCAUGCCAGAGUUGUGAGCACUGCAUCAGGAGAUGUUUUGGAUCAUCUCUGAGGUGGGAUCACUGUACCAGGGGUGUCUUGAAUCAUCCCUGAGGGGUGAACACUGUGACAGGAGGUGUCUUGAAUCAUCCCUGAGGUAAGAGCACUGCACCAGGAGGUCUUUGGAUCAUCAUACCUGAGGUGUGAACAUUUCACCCAGAAGUGUCAUAUCAUGUCUGAGGUGUGACCCAUGCACUAGGAGGUGUUUUGUAUCAUGCCUGAGUUGUGACCACUGUACCAGAGGGUGUUUUGGAACAUCCCUGAGGUGUGAGCACUGCACCAGGUGGUGUCUUGGAUCAUCUCUGUAGUGUGAGAAUUACACAAAGAGGUGUUUUUAAUCAUCCCUGGGGUGAGAUCACUACACCAGGAAUUGUGUUGGAUCAUGCCUGAGUGUGAGCACUGCACCAGGAGGUAUUUUGAAUCAUGCCUGAGUUGUGAGCACUGCAUCAUGAGGUGUUUUGGAUCAUCCCUGAGGUGCAAGCACUGCACCAGGGGGUGUCUUGGAUCAUCCCUGAUGUGUGAGCACUGCACCAGGAGAUGUCUUGGAUCAUCCCUGAGGUGUAAGCACUGCACAAAGGACUGUCUUGUAUUAUUCCUGAGUGCAAACGCUGCACCAGGUGUCUUUUUGGCUCAUUCCUAGGUGUGACCACUGCACCAGGAGGUAUCUCAAGUCAUGCCAGAGAUGUGAGCACUGCAUUAGAAGAUGUUUUGGAUCAUCCCUAAGGUGUGAGCACUGGACCAGGAGGUCUCUUGGAUCAUCCCUGAGUUGAGAGCACUGUUCCAAGAGGUGUCUUGGAUCAUGCCUGAGUGUGAGCACUGCACCACGUGGUUUUUUUGGAUCAUCCCUAGGUGUGAGCACUGCACCAGGAGGUAUCUUGGAUCAUGUCUGAGUUGUGAUCACUGCACCAGGAGGUGUCUUAAAUCAUAUCUGAGUUGUGAGCACUGCACCAAGAGGUGUUUUGGAGCAUCCCUGAGGUGUGAGCACUGCAUGAGGUGGUGUCUUGGAUCAUCCCUGUAGUGUGAAAACUGCACAAGGAGGUAUUUUCCAUCAUCCCUAAGGUGGGAGCACUACACCAAGAAGUGUGUUGGAUAAUGCUUGAGAUGUGAGCACUGCACCAGGAGGUGUCUUAGAUCAUGCCUGAGUGUGAGCACCUCACCAGGAUGUACCUUGCAUGAUGCCUGAGUUGUGUGGGCACUGCAUCAGGAUGUGUUUUGGAUCACCCUUGAGGUGUGAGCACUGUACCAGGAAUUGUCUUGGAUCAUCCCUGAGUGUGAGCACUACACCAGGAGGUGUUUGGGGUCAUCCAUAAGGUCUCAGCACCGCACCAGGUUUCUUGUAUUAUGCCUGAGUGUGAGCACUGCACCAGGAGAUAUUUUGAAUCAUGUCUGAGUUGUGAGCACUGCAUCAGGAGGUAUUUUGGAUCAUCCCUGAGGUGUGAGCAUUGCACCAGGAGGUGUCUUGGAUCAUCCCUGAGGUGUGAACAUUGCACCCAGAAGUGUCUUAUGUCAUGCCUGCAGUGUGAGCACUGCACCAGGAUAUCUAGGAUCAUCCCUGAAUUGUGAGCACUAAACCAGGAGGUGUCUUGAUUCAUCCCUGAGGUGUGAGCACCUCACCAGGAGGUAUCUUGGAUCAUCCCUGAGAUGUGAACACCUCACCAGGAAGUGUCUUGGAUCAUGUCUGAGUUGUGAGCACUGCACCAGGACGUGUCUUAAAUCAUCUCUGAGGUUUGAGCACUACACCAGGAGGUGUCUUAAAUCAUGCUGAAAAGUGACCACUGCACCAGGAGGCAUCUUGGAUCAUGUCUCAGUUGCAACAGGAGGUGUCUUGGAUCAUCCCUGUGGUAUAAGCACUGCACCAGAAGGUGUCUUGGAUCAACCCUGGGAUGGAGGCAGUGCACCAGAAGGUGUCUUGGAUCAUCCCUGAUGUGGGAGCACUGCAUCAGGAGAUCUCUUGGAUCAUCGCUGAGGUGUGAGCACUGCACCAGGAGGUAUCUGGAAUGAUUUUUGAGGAGAGUGUAGCGCACCAGGAGGUAUCUUGGAUCUACCCUGAGGUGUGAGCACUGCAACAGGAAGUGUCUUGGAUCAUCCCUGAGGUGUGAGCACUGCAACAGGAUGUGUCCUCAAUCAUCCAUGAAGGGGGAUCACUGCACCAGGAGGUGUCUUGUAUCAUUGCUGAGGUGGAAGCACUGCACAAGGAAGUGUCUUAGAUCAACCUGACUUGUGAGCACUGCACCAGAAGGUGUCUUGGAUCAUUGCUAAGAUGCAAGCAAUGCACCAGCAGAUGUCUCAGAUCGUCCUUUAGGUGGGAGCGCUACACGAGGGGUGUCUUGGAUCAUCCCUGAGGAGGGAGCACUACACCAGGAGGUGUCUUGGAUCAUUUCUGAGGUGCAGGCACUGCAUCAUGAGGUGUCUUGGAUCGUCGCUGAAGUGUAAGCACUGCACCAGGAGGUGUUGUGAAUCAUCGCUGAGGUGUGAGCACUGCACCAGUAGGUGUCUUGGAUCAUCCUUGGGGUGUGAACAUUGCAUCAGGAGAUGUCUCAGAUCAUCCCUGAGGUGCAGGCACUGUACCAGGAGGUAUCUUGAAUCAUUUCUGAGGUGCAGGUGCUGCACCAGGUGUCUUGAAUCAGCCCUGAGGUGUGAGCACUACACCAGGAGGUGUCUUGAUUCAUCCCUGAGGUGUGAGCACUGCACCAGGUGUCUUGAUUCAUCUCUGAGGUGUGAGCACUGCACCAGGAGCUGUCUUGAAUAACUUCUGAGGUGUGACCAUUGUACCAGGAGGUGUCCUGUAUCAUCCCUGUGGAGGGAGCACUGCACCAGAAGGUGUAUUGGAUCAUCCCUGAAGUGUGAACACUACAUCAAAAGGCAUCACGAAUCAUCCCUAAGGCUUGAGCACUGCACCAGGAGGUGUCUUUGAUCAUGCCUGAGAUGUAUGCACUGCACUAGGAGGUGUUUUGGAUCAUCCCUAGGUGGGAGCACUACCCCAAGAGGAGUCUUGGAUCAUCUUUGAGGUGGGAGUACCACACCACGAGGUGUCUUGGAUCAUCCCUGAGGUGGAAGCACUGCACCAGGAGUUGUCUUGGAUCAUUCCUGAGGUGUGAGUACUGCACCAGGAGGUAUCUUGUAUCAUCCCCGAGGUCAGAGCACUACACCAGGAGAUGUUUGGAUCAAACCUGACAUGUAGGCACCGCACCAGAAGGUCUCUUGGAUGAUGCCUGAAUUGUCAGCACUGCACCAGGAAGUGUAUUUUAUCAUCCUUGAGGUCAGAACACUGCACCAGCAAGUGUCUUGGAUUCUGCCUAAGGUGUGAGCACUGCACAAGCAGUUGUCUUGGCUCAUCCCUAAGAAGGGAGUACUGUGCCAGGGGGUGUCUUGGAUUAUGCCUGAGUUGUGAGCACUGUAUCAGGAGGUGUCUUGGAUCAGCCCUGAAUUGUGAGCACUGCACAAGGAGGUGUCUUGGAUCAUCCCUGAGGUGGGAGCACUGCACCAGGAGGUGUCUUCAAUCAUCCCUGAGGUGUGAGCACUGCACCAGGAGAUGUCUUGGAUCAUCCCUGAGGUCACGCUGAUGCAAGAGGUGGGCUCCCAUGGCCUUGGACUGCUUCACCCCUGUGGCUUUGCUUUCACAAGAUGGCAUUGAGUGUCUGAGGCAUUUCCAGGUGCACAGUGCAAGCUGUCAGCGGAUCUACCAUUCUGGGGUCUGAAGGACGGUGGCCCUCCUCUCACAGUUCAACCGGGCAGCACCCCCAUGGGGACUCCCUGUGGGGGCUCCAAUCCCACAUCUCCCUUCUUCAAUGCCCUAGCAGAGGUUCUCCAUGAGGGCUUUGCCCCUACAGCAGACUUCUGCCUGUACAUCCAGGUAUUUCCAUACAUCCUCUGAAAUCUAAGCUGAGGUUCCCAAACCUCAAUUCUUGACUCCUGUACACCCACAGGUCCAAGACCACGUGUAAGCCACCAAGGCUUGGGGCUUGCACCCUCUGAAGCAACAGCCUGAGCUCUAUGUUGGCCCCUUGAGCCACAGCUGGAACUCACUAUCACCAAAUCCCUAUACUACACAAAGCAGCAAGGCCCUAGGCCUAGCCCGUGAAACCCUUUUUUCCUCCUAGGCCUCUGGGCCUGUGAUGGGAGGGACUGCUGUGAAGAACUCUGACAUGCCCUGGAGACAGUUUCCCCAUUGUCUUGGUGAUUAACAUUUGGCUUUUCGUUACUGAUGCAAAUUUAUCUAGCUGGCUUGAAUUUCUUCUCCAAAAAUGGGUUUUUCUUUUCUAUCGCAUCAUCAGGCUGCAAAUUUUCCUAAGUUUUAUGUUCUGGUUCCCUUUUAAACAUAAGUUUUAAUUCCAAACCAUAUAUUUGUGAGUACAUAAAACUGAAUGCUUUUAACAGCACCCAAGUCACCUCUUGAAUGCUUUGCUGCUCAGAAAUUUCUUCUGCCAGAUACCCUAAAUCAUCUCUCUCAAGUUCAAAAUUCCACAGAUCUUUAGGGCAAGGGCAAAAUACUGCCAGUCUCUUUGCUAAAAUGUAGCAAGAGUCACCUUUAUUCCAGUUCCCAAAAAGUUCUUCAUCUCCAUCUGAGACCACCUCAGCCAGGACUUCAUUGUCCACAUCACUAUCAGCAUUUUGGUCAAAACCAUUAAACAAGUCUCUAGGAAGUUCCAACUUUCCUGGAAGACAUCUUCCUGUCUUCUUCUGAGCCCUCCAAACUGUUCCAACCUCUGCCUGUUACCCAGUUCCAAAGUCACUUCCACGUUUUUUAGUAUCUUUAUAGCAGCGCCCCACUACCCAGUAUCAAUUUACUGUUUUAUUCCAUUCUCAUGCUGCUAUGAAGAACUGCCUGAGACUGGGUAAUUUAUAAAGGAAAGAGGUUUAAAUUACUCACAGUUCUGCAGGGCUGGGGACGCCUCAGGAAACUUACAAUCAUGGCAGAAAGCAAAGGGGAAGCGGGCACGUCUUCAUGUGUCUGGAGAAGGAGGAAGAGAGCAAAGAGGGAGGUGCCACACACUUUCAAACAACCAGGUCUCCUGAGAACUCAUUCACCAUCACAAGAAUGCAAGGGGGAAAUCUGCCCCCAUGAUCCAAUCACCUCCAACCAGCCCACUUCCCCAACACUGGGAAUUACAAUUCGACAUGAGAUUUGGUUGGGGACACAGAGCCAAACUAUAUCAGUGCUUAACCUCAUUUGAGUUGUCACACGCAACCAGGAGGCUUGAAUAACCCACUGCUUCCAGACUAGAUGGCUUUCUGUGUGACCCCAAGAGAGACUCCCAGCCUCUGCUGAUUCCUAUGUAAAGUAUGGGUUGGAACUGGAUGGUAUCGUAGGUUCCUUUAGCUCCGUAUGAUUCUCAUGUAAAAUUCCACCCAGCAGUCAGGCAAGAGGUGCACUGGGGAGAGGAGGUGGAACCCCCAGGUUGUUGAUAAAAUCCUGAAAUCCCUUGGCUCUGUGCUUCAAACAGCCACCUUCCCAACAUCUAUGACUCUUUGAACUGCUCAUAAAGAGCGCUGAUUAAUGUGACACUUCACAUGCCCACCAUGAAAUUAGGAAGGCCCUUAGAUCUCCUUCAAACCCGCGGUGCCGGUGCCUUCGCCCCAUCAAUCAGAGAUGAAACUGUGAUUGUGCUGCAAGGAGACGAGGCCAUCCUGGAGUUCUGCCAUGAAAGAAUCGCUGGGACUCAAAGGAGGGGAAAACAAGGGAAGGAGAGAGGGGGAAAGGGAAAGAGAAGCUGCUUCCAGAAGGAAUAAAUUUGUGUGUGUACUUUGA